rnacentral:tRNA from 1 species
UGACCCAUGGUGUAAUGGCAGCACAAGAGAUUUUGGUUCUCUUGGUCUAGGUUCGAAUCCUGGUGGGUCAACAA